GUCUAAGACCAUACCACCCUGAAUGUGCCCAAUCUCAUCUGAUCUCGGAAGCUAAGCAGGGCUGGGCUUGGUUAGUACUUGGAUGGGAGAAAAUACAACCCAAAACAGAGCCUGUUCCUCGAGUGCCAGGGUGGAUA
ensembl:rRNA 5S_rRNA 5S ribosomal RNA